rnacentral:lncRNA from 10 species
CUUUCCCUGGCUGACAGAACUCUGCCUUCGAGUAGGUGUUGGGGGUCAUGCCCUUCAUGAAAGGAGGAGUUUCUCUCUCAUCUCGGUCAAAAAACAAAUUAUUCUGCCAAGCAAGGAGCAUGUUUUAGCUUAGUCACCACAGAAGAAACAGAUCACUUUUAAUUAUGACAUUUCAUCAACACUUGGCAAGUAAGAAAGAUGGGUUGAAAGACUGCAUCAGAAAUAUUCUAGAGUUAUUUUCCUGCUAACAUGGAAACAAAAAGAUUCAAUGUGAGAAGAAAAAAUAGAUUCCUAAUGGUCAAGAGAACAAGAAAAUUAGAUAGAAACUUAAAUAUAAAGUACCCGGAAGUCAAAAUGUUUGAAAUGACACUUAGAGCCUUAAUUAACCAGAUUUUAAGAUA